rfam:Kocuria flava strain HO-9041, complete genome.
CGCGGUCCUCGGUAGUGAUCUCCGGAACCCGGACGGCCCACGGCCGCCGGUGGUCCGUGGAUCUCGAUCGAAGACCGGG